AAUCAACGCUGGCGGCGUGCCUCAGACAUGCAAGUCGAACGAUUAAAGCUCUCUUCGGAGAGUGUAUAGAGUGGCGCACGGGUGAGUAACACGUAAGUAAUCUACCCUCGAGUGGGGAAUAACGUCCGGAAACGGACGCUAAUACCGCAUAAUGCAGCGGCACCGCAAGGUGACAGUUGUUAAAGAUUUAUCGCUUGAGGAGGAGCUUGCGGCAGAUUAGCUAGUUGGUAAGGUAAUGGCUUACCAAGGCUACGAUCUGUAACCGGUCUUAGAGGACGGUCGGUCACACUGACACUGAAUAACGGGUCAGACUCCUACGGGAGGCAG
rnacentral:rRNA from 1 species